rnacentral:rRNA from 2 species
UGGCUCAGAACGAACGCUGGCGGCAGGCCUAACACAUGCAAGUCGAGCGAUCCAGCAAUGGGGAGCGGCAGACGGGUGAGUAACACGUGGGAACGUACCCUUCGGUUCGGAAUAACUCAGGGAAACUUGAGCUAAUACCGGAUACGUCCGAGAGGAGAAAGAUUUAUCGCCGAAGGAUCGGCCCGCGUCUGAUUAGCUAGUUGGUGAGGUAACGGCUCACCAAGGCGACGAUCAGUAGCUGGUCUGAGAGGAUGAUCAGCCACAUUGGGAUUGAGACACGGCCCAAAGACCUACGGGAGGCA